rnacentral:rRNA from 1 species
UAGAGUAAUGCGUGACCAACCUGCCCCAUGCUCCAGAAUAGCUCUUGGAAACGGGUGGUAAUGCUGGAUGCUCCAACUUGACGCAUGUCUUGUUGGGAAAGUGUUUAGUGGCAUGGGAUGGGGUCGCGUCCUAUCAGCUUGUAGGCGGGGUAAUGGCCCACCUAGGCUUCGACGGGUAGCCGGCAUGAGAGGGCGGACGGCCACAUUGGGACUGAGAUACGGCCCAGACUCCUACGGGAGGCAGCAGCG